CAGGAAGAGGGAAGGGCAAGGCGGACUCCCAGCCAAACACUAGCCUGUGUUUGGGGCAAGAUGUGGCUAACCGUGGGUGGGGGUGGGGCGAAGGAAAUUCUCUGGUACUCAUGAGGCAAACUCACAGUAUGUUUAGUUUACAGGCAUGAUUAGGAAAGAGUUUGGAAGCUAUGGCUGUCACCACCAUGGAAAGCUGGAUCCAGGUGUUUCAGGGACCAGAGAUUCAGACUCAGAUUCUACUUGGCUUGACCUUCCUUCAAGAGGCCUUCAGGACUUUGCAUAAUGAAGAGUGGGUGCAUAUUCAUCAGAUCCCUCAGGCUGAGAAAUGGAGCCUAACAGAAAAGAUGUUCCCAGUGAAGUCUGAAGGGAUAGUGAAGCACGUGCUCGGGCUUGGAGCCUCACCUGUGCACAGUCUGCUUCUCGAUGCCUCCCUGCCUCCCUGUGAUAGGUCCUCGGCCAUCUGUUCCCUGCCCUGUGGCUCCCUGGGCCCUGCCUGGCUUCCCCCUCUCUGCCCACACUGCUGCCUCCGCCUG
ensembl:lncRNA